rnacentral:rRNA from 1 species
CCUAGCCCUACACGACCCCCAACACAACUACGAAGAUAACCCAAAAACCAAACCAUUUACCCCCAUAAAAGUAUAUGUGAUAGAAAUUAUUAACAGGCGCCAUAGAGAAAGUACCGCAAGGGAAAGAUGAAAGAAAAACUAACAGCACAAAACAGCAAAGACUUACCCUUCUACCUUUUGCAUAAUGAAUUAACUAGAAAAAUCCUUGCAAAGAGCACUUCAGUAAAAAACCCCGAACCCAGACGAGCUACCUGCGGACAGUAUGAAGAACCAAUUCAUCUAUGUGGCAAAAUAGUGAAAAGAUCCUCAGGUAGAGGUGAAAAGCCAACCGAGCCUGGCGAUAGCUGGUUGUCCAGAAACCGAAUCUAAGUUCAACCUAAAAUCUGCCUGAAGAACAUAACACCAAAUCUUAACGCAAAUUUUAGAUAUAGUNNNCAGCUUUAAGUCCCAGGCGACCAUUCCACAAACCCCACCUAGAGAGUAACUUUCUUUUUUCCCCUCCAUAGUAGGCCCAAAAGCAGCCACCAAUAAAGAAAGCGUUCAAGCUCAACAGCAACAGCAUUAAAAAUUCCGAAACAAACCUUCAACUCCUAGGCCUCUACUGGACCAAUCUAUAACAAUAGAAGAAAUAAUGUUAAUAUAAGUAACAAGAAUAAAUUUCUCCAUGCACAAGCUUAUAUCAGAACGGACCCACCACUGAUAAUUAACAACCGGACUUUUACACACCACUAAACAUAUUCAAGUCUCCCCACUGUUAACCCAACACAGGUGUGCAUACUGGAAAGAUUAAAAGAAGCAGAAGGAACUCGGCAAAUAUAAAUCCCGCCUGUUUACCAAAAACAUCACCUCUAGCAUAACAACUAUUAGAGGCACUGCCUGCCCAGUGACAUAUGUUAAACGGCCGCGGUACCCUGACCGUGCAAAGGUAGCAUAAUCAUUUGUUCUUUAAUUAAGGACUUGUAUGAAAGGCCCAACGAGGAUUUUACUGUCUCCUGCUUCCAAUCAGUGAAAUUGACCUCCCCGUGAAGAGGCGGGGAUAGACCUACAAGACGAGAAGACCCUAUGGAGCUUCAAUUAAUUAGCCUAACUGCAAUUCUCACAAACCAACAGGAAUUAACCACCUGCAGCCUAGCCUAACAAUUUCGGUUGGGGUGACCUCGGAGCACAAACAAACCUCCGAAUGGCUACAUACUCAGACCUUACCAGUCGACGUACCUCAAUACCAUUAAUUGAUCCAAGCAAUUGAUCAACGGAACAAGUUACCCUAGGGAUAACAGCGCAAUCCUAUUUCAGAGUCCAUAUCGACAAUAGGGUUUACGACCUCGAUGUUGGAUCAGGACACCCUAAUGGCGCAACCGCUAUUGAUGGUUCGUUUGUUCAACGAUUAAAGUCCUACGUGAUCUGAGUUCAGACCGGAGCAAUCCAGGUCGGUUUCUAUCUAUAAACCUUUUCUCCCAGUACGAAAGGACAAGAGAAAUGGGGCCCAUUCUACGAGAACGCCCCAAAGUCAAAUAGAUGAAUCAAUCUAAAUCUAAUCAACUCCUAACAACCAACCCCAAACCAGGGUUUGU